UCAAAGAAAAAUACUCAAGGGGAAUUCGGGGACCAGAGGUUUAAUGGUUGCGGCUUUAUAAUCUUUAUCAGAGCACUGAGGCAGUAAUAGGAAGAUAGGAGUAAUCACCUCCAAGAUUUCUGUCACCUCAAUCAACCUUCAAGGGAAAAUCAUCACAAGAGAGCCUCCGAGGCUCAUGCAGAUGUGAGUGAUAACAUGAGGCCGUCAUAAGGCAAGAAUCAUGUGUCUCCAGACAUCUUCUAAAUGGACUGAGUGAUGAAUCACAAAGCUGAAGCAACAACAAAUACAGGACAGACCAGCAAGAAUAAAACCAUCAUCUCAAUACUUAGCUGCUGCUGCUUCUGAUCUCCUGAGCCACUUCCAAUCCAGAUGGGAAACAGAAGAACAUGGAGAUUUUGCAAUUCGAGCUGAGCCAGGCAGGAACUCUUUGGCAGAAGAGGCCUCCCGAGGGAUAAACACAAUCCAGAAGAUGACUGCAGAGGGAAAUGUGACCUGCACCAUGCAGUCUUCACUAUGAAACAAACUGCUGCUGGACAUGUACACCUCUUUAGUUCCCACGCUACACAACAACUGCACCGGGCUAGGAUGCUCCAAGGGAGACAGCAUCUUGUGAAAUCUACCAGAAAACACCACAAUAAACACCACAAAACACAAGAAGGAGCCCGCCAGCUGCAGAAAGCCAGCAACAGGAUCAAAAGAGAAAUGUCCCAGGUACAAACAAGGUGAGAUCCUACUGAGCCUAAGCCAGCAGCCACCCACUGCGUGCUCUGGUGGGUUUAGAAAUCCCAUCCUGUAUGGCAGCUCCUGCAUGCCUGAGCUCACUGACAGAGUAAGGCAGCAUUUAACACCCUCAGUCUGCAAGGCACAGACAGGAGAUGGUAAAUACCUUGAUAAGGAAACUGGAGUGAAAACACCAGCUUUAGGCAAUCCAGAUUUUAUCAGGGAAGUAUGCAGGGAUGAGUAAGUACCUGACAUGCAGAUGUACCUAUGCACAGUGCCAGCAGUCUGCCAGUCCGCACAUCUGGCCUUAGGCAUCACGCUCACAUUUUCACACCCAUGUGAUUUUGGGGUACGUUGUGGAGGCAGAUUUUUGCAUGGAGUUCUCAGUUACACAGUGGUAGUGCCCAAAACGAAUCUGCAUCUCUGUCUGGAAGCACCUAUAGAUUUGACAUUGGAUAACUACUUUUCUGCUGUGAGAAGCUGCUUGGCUUCAUGAGGCUAAUUACUCUGCUUAGCAAUGACAUGCAUUUCACAGCAUGGGAAUCCACGUGUGACAGGUGACAAAAGCAUGCUGUAAUUCAAGGGCUCAUCAAAGUCCUGAAGAAAUGAAUUCCUGAAGAAAUGAAUGUUGUGUAUUGCUGUGUGAAUGGAUGGUGUCUUCUGGCUUCUUGCUGUUAGUUUGAGACCUAGAUAAGAUCAGUACCCGGUACCAUCCUAGUCUCUAUAACGUGAAUCAUGGGUUCUUCCUGGGGGUGGUGCUUAGUGUGGCUAAUGACAGCCAUAAGAAGGAGUGAGGCCCAGGAAUGGAUAAAGAAUAAAUUGGCUGCACUGUGCACAAAGAGGGCCAAACAGAUGUUGGGCCUGAUCCAGACUCCAUUGAGUUAAUGGAAAGGAUCCCUUCGAUUUCAUUGGACACUGUAUCAGACUAUUACAGCUUCUCAGGAAGUGGUGGAGAUCAAGGGUAAUAACUUGUGGUGACUGGAGUGGUGUGUGUUGCAUAGGUGUGGGCUGUGAGGUUUUCAUGGUGAAAACAGAUGGGUCUUCAAGACCUGUCCAUUUGGCCUGGGAAACCUUCCUGCCCCACCUCCCCCACCUAAUGGGAAGCAGUCUCCUGCGGUUUUGGUCCUCUAGCCAACAUUUUGGUAUGAUUUCAUGCAGAAGUGCCCUUCUCCCUUCUGACUUCCACCUCUUCCUCAGUGAGGUUCCGGUGUGAUCCUGAGAUGUUCCAGACCAGUGACUUGAGCUGUCCACAGAGAAGGAAGGAAUAAGGCCUGCUGAGGGCUGUUCACCAGAGAGGAUUUUUGUUGCGGACCAAUAAGAAAAAUAAUGUAAAGCAGGUGUUUCUGCAGUUGUGAGA